GAUGAACGCUGGCGGCGUGCUUAACACAUGCAAGUCGAACGAAGCAUUUGCGACAGAUUUUUUCGGAAUGAAGUUGCUUAUGACUGAGUGGCGGACGGGUGAGUAACGCGUGGGUAACCUGCCUUGUACUGGGGGAUAGCAGCUGGAAACGGCUGGUAAUACCGCAUAAGCGCACAAUGUUGCAUGACAUGGUGUGAAAAACUCCGGUGGUAUAAGAUGGACCCGCGUCUGAUUAGCUAGUUGGUGAGAUAACAGCCCACCAAGGCGACGAUCAGUAGCAGACCUGAGAGGGUGACCGGCCACAUUGGGACUGAGACACGGCCCAGACUCCUACGGGAGGCAGCAGUGGGGAAUAUUGCACAAUGGAGGAAACUCUGAUGCAGCGACGCCGCGUGAGUGAAGAAGUAAUUCGUUAUGUAAAGCUCUAUCAGCAGGGAAGAUAGUGACGGUACCUGACUAAGAAGCUCCGGCUAAAUACGUG
rnacentral:rRNA from 1 species